GCGGAGAGGUGACGUAGCGCGGGAUGCGGGCGCUGGGCCUUGGCCGGUGGCUGCGGCCGGUGCCCGGCGGGGCCCGAGGGGCCGGGGAGGGGCGGCAGCCGCCGCCGCGGGACCCUCCGGCCCGGGCCGCUGCCCCCGCGCAGCCUAAAGUGACAGUGGAAGUGCUGGAUCACUUGGAACACCUGGCCCUGGUUGAUUUCCGUGAUUCAGAGGGUGUAGAGCGGCUGCAGAAAGCAAUCGACUUUGCUGAUCAGCUUCAUGAAGUAAACACUGAUGGCGUAGAACCGAUGGAUUCGGUCCUGGAGGACAGGUGUCUGUAUCUCAGAGAAGAUGAUGUUACAGAAGGCAACUGCACGGAAGAGCUGCUGAAAAAUUCCAAAGAGAAAGUAGAGGAAUAUUUUGUAGCGCCACCAGGUAACAUCCCUUUACCAAAGCUAGAAGAACGAAAAUCUUUUCUGCAGGGCUCUUAGCGAAAGCCCAGAACCCAAACACCAUUUUGGUAUUUCUUUUGGAAAGCUAAGUUGUGUGCAGUCACAGCUGAAAUACCCUGGUCUUAGAAAUACAAGUACUCUGGUACUUUUCAGUGCUGCAAGCAGACAUUGCUACCAGGAAGCUCGCAACAGCUUUACAAGAAGAAGCAGUGUGAUUAGCAGAUACCACUCUGGAUACAGCUUCACCUUUAAUCUGUUUCCAGCUCUACUUUACAAACUCAUGCGAGUAUCACCUCAAUAUCACCAUUUUACUAGCUGUUACUUGUUUAUAAGGAUACUGAGCCUUUACUUUAGAUCUCAGCGUUGUAGAAACCACUCCCCAGACUGGUGUAAUACCCUAAUCUUUGAGCACAUGGCUCUAGAUGCUUUUCUUUCUGCUCAGUUUGGGUUUUGGCUUAGAACGUUUCCAUCUUGCGGGAAAAAAAUGAAUUAGUGCAGGGAUAUUUCUGUUUCUUUGCAAGAUGGUGUGGAAAAGUAACAGUUAAUUGUCAAGCUCAGCCUGUUACUCUCAAGUAACAGUCAUGUACCAGUACCUCAAAUUCUGCAUGGAAAGGGUUGGGGUAAGCACUUCAGCCACCAGCUCCCAGAUGGGAUGUUUGUCACAGAAAGCUCAGCCACAGUGAAGAAGUGGUUGCAAAGAGGUAGCACAGCUCCAAGAACAAAAGGAGCCCCCCUGAUUCUGCCUUACUGGCUCAGAGGCCAAUAGACCAUCACAGGAAGAGGUGCUGUGCUGGGCAAAUUGGGAAGAUGGCUCUUGCAAACAACAUUCAUUGUCGCUGUCUCCUGGCAGAGAAUGCUGAGGCUUCCUUACAGACUGCCACCAGUCAGAGGCCAGAUAAGCCAAGGCUUACUGCAAGAAACUAAAGACCUGCUGAAAGAAUAAUACUGCAGCAAACUAGAACAAAAUAGUCCAGACCAUUCACUUUCAGGCCCUACAGAGGGCAGAAAAAAAAGCUGAAAAACAAGCUUUUCUUCCUGAUUUGUGCCCUGUCCACAUACAGAUUUAAGUAUCCAUAAUUAUUUAUUCCAAUUCUAACUCCAUGCACUAGAGAAGAUCAUGACAUACUGAGCCACAGUGGAAUUUGAAAGUGCUAGAAAAGACCCCUCAUGUUAUUGUAAUGGGAUGCUACUGAUCACCAGUUCUGAGUCUGCUUUUACAGCUCUUGAGAGCCUGAUAGGAGAAGGGAAGUAGGCUCCUCCAUGGCUGUGCAGGCACAUGAAACUCACCUUGUGAGAUGGUAACUUGAUGUCGUCCAGCUUAUAUAGUGCUUGUUCUGUAUCCUUUUGCAGAGAAAAGCCAUUACUCCUAUUCCAUCUUUCUGUGCAUCUGCAUAAUAAACACUACCUGCUUGGUGCAUGUGUUUCUUCAGGUCCUGCCAGCUGUCUGAUAGAGGAAGUCCUGAGCAUGGCCAUAAUAACUAUUUCUCCUAUGAACUGCAUCUUCCGCAUCCCUGCAAACAGCAGGUAAUAUAAAUUAGACGUUAAUGAUACAAGUGUUGUUUCUUAACAUCGCAAAAGUCCACCAAGCAUAUUAGAAGUAUAAUUUGAAAAACACUGAAAAAAAUAUGAAAGAGUUUGAAUAGUAGUGAUACUAGGUUCAGCCAUAGGUGGCUUGCUCUUAAUACUGUGUGUACAAAGUGCUUUGACAAGCUCCCUCUCAGGCCUUUCGUUCAUUAUGUGCCAUGUAUUUAAUGGAAAACCCAGCUGAGUGAAAAGGAUUACAGCUGUCUUUGUGGGUAUAAGAAAUCACAGCUACUGGGUAGGAUCCACUUUUACUCACUGCCCUCAAAGGUUGCAUGUUUGGUAAGUUUUGAACUUUUUUUUUUUUUAAGGAACUGAUUUUUUUUUUUUUUCAUAUUUCUCUGGCAGGACGUGAGCACAAACACUUGUCCCAUUCUUACUUGUGCAGUUACUUCAUUAUUUGUUUAAGCUUCUAUAACAUACACACAUACAUAUACAUAUAUACAUAUAUGUAUGUGCAUAAACAUGUAAUUAUUAUGAUAUUUGAAUUCUUUCAAGGGUGUUGAAUUAAAGUCUCUAUUUAACCCCACUAAUCCAGUUCUCUGCAAGGCUGUAAAACUGUAUUAGUGCUUUAGUCUCAGGCUCUUCAGGUUUCAGACCCUGCAAAUUUACAAACAUACAAGCUCAGCCUAAAAGUCAUUUAUGAUGCAUUUAUAAAUCAUGACAUGGAAAGACCUCAAGUCACACCACACAACAAGCAUGUUAGCAGAGAAUUCUCAGUUUGAGAAAUCCCCAUUUGUUCCAUCCAUCUUGGCCUCCUCCUUUGGCCAUCAGAGACAACAGGACAAUGUUAUUUAUGUAGAAAAAGGAAGAGGAAUUUGAGAGUGAACUGCAUGGCUGCAGGGGCUUCCAACACAAUGUAUCAUCAAGUAACUAUUUAAAAGCAACAACCAAACCAACAAUUUGGACAAAGAUGAUCCCCUGUUCCCACUGCUGCACAGGCUAAGCUUAAAACUGCCAGUUCACUGCUACUCCCUUACCCAAACACUCCAGUGUGAAAACAGACUGCCUGAUGCUUGUUCCCUGCAGCUCAAACUUCAUUUAAAGUGGAAAACAUGUAUUUCCUUAAUGAAAGGGUUUGUUGCAACUUCACUGCUAAUAAGGGAUUUAUAGCCAUGACUCAGAUACCUGCAACCACCAAAACAGAAAUCCUAGCAAAGGCCAGGUGAGCUGCCUAUGGGGCAAAAUAUGUUAGUGCCUCAGCCUGCCCUUGGCACGUCUAAUGUGGUGGGUGCUGCACCCCAGGGGAUGGCACAAAGCCCCACUGGGCCCUGGCUGCACUCCGAGAUGGGGGCGAGACGCCCUUCGUGGUGCCAGUUCACCUGCUUUCACUGCAGGCCCUCGAUAUGUAAUUGGGUCCAGAUUGGGGUCAGAUCUUUACAGUAUUCUGCCACAAUGCAAUUUAUAAACCCUGGCAAGGGAAUAAAUAUAGUUAAGGACUCGUGUAAUAAAAUUGCUACCUGUAAAUUCCUCGUAACUGCAGUGAGGCAAAUAUAAUGUGUAUUUGUGAAAUAACUCAUCUUUUCUCCAUGGUUAAUAGAUAUGGCAAAAAAGAAAAAAAAAAUAAGACAAGAAAAAGGACAGAUUCUGAGAUGAUGUAAAUGCAUCUACUUUCCCUGGAGACCAUAAUUUGACUUAGACCUGCUAAGGUUUUUCCACUACUAUGUAGAGCUGUAACAUAAAAUCAGAUUAGAAGCCCUAGCAUAUAGAUUCCAGGUUUACAAAGAAAAUUUCAGGGUGAAGAUUUCUUCAAUUUUAUGGAAAAAAGAAAACUUAAGUUGUUUUAUUGCUAAUAAUGAUAAUUUUAUGCUUUGAUAGUAACUAGAAGACCCAGGAAAAAUCUCUAUUUGAUACAGUGAUCCAGUAUGCAACACAGCAAAAAAAGGCCUCAACUGAAAAGUGCUUACAAUCUAACCUCAUCUGCAAGAGGAAUCUCAUGAUAUGUCUUAUCCAUUACUCAAUUUUCUUCGGCACCUCCUCUACUCCAGCUAUCAUCUCCUCUGUGUAUUCGUUCUGCCCUCCCCUGCAGCUCUGUCCUGAGGGAAACCACACUUUUAUAUUCUCGAUUAACAAGUAAAGCUGUGUAUCUCAGGCUUUAAUGUUUCUCGUUAAUGAUGUGUAUCUCACCCACACUGACAUUUCCUGCAGUCGUCAUCACAUCUGUUCCUUCAGCUAACCAUUUCUUAAUAAAUGCAUAGAAAUUUGCCUGCAGCUACCAAACACAA